UUCCACUGGAACACAAGUGCUCUGGCCAAAC
rnacentral:piRNA from 1 species